GUCGCCGAGGCGGGGUCUGAUAUCGGGCCUCUGCGUCUCCUGGAUCCAUCGCGUCAGGAGUUCCUCCCUUGCCUUGGAGGCGCCUUUCUUGGGCGAGCGCGGCCUCUCGUCCCUCCUCGGGCUGCGGAAGGCGUAGGCCCAAUGACCUUUCCCCCUCUGCCGCCUCUGGUACUAUGCGAUCGAGCAUACCCCGUUUCUUUAAUAUUUUCUUCUUUCGAUGUCUUCUUUACGGUGUGUUUUCCUUUAGUUUCUUGGAUGAACUCUCGUGCAUCUCGAUGUCUUUGUUUGAACUUGUUGUGGUUGGCGUCCAACAAGCCUUGACGUUCUUGAUUUGUUUGUUGGCAACGGUUGACGAGAUUUAGGUUUGCGAUUAGUUAGUGCACAUGGAGAUUUGGGUUCGAGAUUGGGAGUUUCGUUGCUUGCAUGAUGAUUCCUUUGCUGAUUAAUAGUGAAAACGAUUCUAGUUUAAGAUAUAUGUUUCUUUUUGCCUGUUACGAAUGCCAAGCCCUAAUUACGGACCCUUUUUUGGUUGGCUUAAUCUUGAUGGCCGAAUAUUAGGAGUCGAAUGUUAGAAUGGAUACACAGUCAAUCAGAUUCAACAACAAUUUUUGGAUUUCACGUUUAUUGUCAAUCAAAUACACAGUCGAAUGAUUAAUAGUGAAAACGAUUCUAGUUUAAGAUAUAUGUUUCUUUUGCCUGUUACGGAUGCCAAGCCCUAAUAUACGGACCCUUUUUUGGUUGGCUUAAUCUUGAUGGCCGAAUAUUAGGAGUCGAAUGUUAGAAUGGAUACACAGUCAAUCAGAUUCAACAACAAUUUUUGGAUUUCACGUUUAUUGUCACCAAUGUGGUGAUAUGUUUAUGUGACGUUUAGCAAUGAAAACAUAAGUAUAGUUUCUUUGAUCGUGCUUCUUGAUAUCUUUGUUUGUGGAUGAACAUAUCUCUACCUGUCAUUUUACUUUGAUGUCAUAUUUUAAUCACCACCUCUUCUCUCCGAUAAUUUGGUAAUAAUUUACAUCCCAUUAGUGGAAAUGGAAGAAAACUUGAAUGGACUUAUUAGUGCUAUUAUCAUUAGUUUAGAAUUAGACAUUUUGGGUUAGUGAUUCAUGCUCAACAAAUUAAUGCAUCAGUUACACCCCAUUAGAUCAGAUCAUGGCUUGGUAGUGUUCUCCAUACAAGAUACAAUGCUUGUUCCUAACUUUAGAUAGCCAUGAAAUUGUCAAGGACAACAAAAUGAAAUAAAUAAUAAAUUCCUUACAAGUUUUUUUAUAAAAAAUCCAUAUGAAAUUUUGCUACUCUUUGCUGUGACAGAUGAAAGAGAAUUAGAAAAAUAAGUAAAUGGAACUGCAACAAAAGAGGUAAAAUGGCAACAUCUUUCCUCAUAACUAAUCCAUCAUGAUCUUGAUAAAAACUUUUAUUGGUCAACAAGAUCAAUUAGAUUCAUGCCUUUAAUGUAGAAAAAGGCAUGACAAAUGGAGGACCUUCAAGAAAUGAGAUCCUCAGCACCGAUGCAGAAAGAUUAUUCUAUCAUGAAGAGUAUUCUAUCAUGAAUAUUAUUACCAAAUUGUUGAGAGAAAAAGGUUUUGAUUAAAAUCUUAAAGCUUGACAUCCAAAUAAAGGUAUGAUAUCCAGGAUUUAAAAUAAUAUCUUUUAAGAAAUGCAAAGAUAGAAUAUGAAGACAUUCUAAGCGUGUAGAUUCUAAUCCAUGUAUAUAAGUUAAUUGAAUAAUAAUUUUGAAAUUAUCAUGAUUGAUUUCCUUCCUUACGUUGGAGACCCUUCCUUCGCACUGCUUUAUUAGUAGAGGCCCAAUCAAGGAAGAUACGAUGAUAUGAGAGCGAUCUUUAGGAGAUAUAGGUUCUUGACUUACCCUUUUUUAUUAUGAUUUUUUAGAUUUUGGGAUUUUAAUGUGUAGAAGUUGUUGGAUCAUGUUUAGUAUUAUUUCUUAUUUUCAGAAAUUUUAUGAGUUAUUUAGAUAUAAAAAAUAUGAUGUCUAUGCGUGAUCCUAGCAUGAAAAAUGUAAUUUACAGAUUAAAAUGGUUUUCUUGUUUUAAAAUUCGGGUCUAUUGAUUUAUGAGAAAUUUUAAUUUAUGAAAAAUGAUUUGCAAUCUAAUAAUUAAUAUUCUGAUUUAGAUGUUUAAUCAUAGUUUUCUGAUGUUGGUAUAUGUUAUAGAUUGUUAUUUUUGUUGAUUUUUAAUUUUUGUUGAAAAAAUAUAUUCGAUUAAAUUCAACUUGGUUAGUUAGAUGAAAUAUAUAUAAAAGGAUAUGCAUACCAUGUCUCUUUUCAAUAUUGGUCAAUGUACCUUUGUAAAGACCAAUUCAUCACCUGAGGUCGAAUCCCACUCUUGUUACUUAAAUUCUUUACUAAAAAUAAAAAAAAGAAAAGAAAGAAUGCAUACGACUCUUCUAAAUAUAGAGGCUAUUAUUUCCAUGACUUGAAAUGAAUUAUUAUCUUUUUUCAGUCACAUUUAGGUCACAAACUGUACGAGGUAUGCAAAAUCAGGAGACUUUAUCUCAACUACUUGUUUACAGCUUGAGGAACUAUAACAAAGUUUGUGCUUUAUGGUAGAUUUCUUACAGCUUUUCCUUUCAUUUGUUUCAUCUUGCACAACUUGCUCCUCUCUCUUAUGCUUUUCGGCAAUUCACCUAUUCUUCCUUCCUUUGGGGAGUUCUUAUCAUUUCAGUCAACAGCCAGUGAGAAUUAGAUCCAUGGUGUCAAAAAUUUUCUGACUUGACGUUGGCCUUGAGAAUGCAAAUGUUAUGAUAGAUUUUUGGGUUUUUCUUGACAAAGGGGAUUAUUAUGUCAAGACAUGUCUCGUCAUGUCAGAAAACAUUAAUCAGUAGAUCUCUCACGGUAUUUAUCUUCUGGGGGCACAUCCCUUCGUUGCAGCUUCUAUCAAACAGGUUUAUAUUCGCCAUUUUAGAAUUAUUAUUAUUAUUAUUAUUAUUUUUGCCUAUCCAAGACCAAACUUUGAAGCAACAAAGUGCCUAUGGGUAUUUCUUACCCCUGGUUUGGUUACUGGCUCCCGUAUCUGCGUUGUGGUUGGUGCUCCACUGGGGGCCACAUCGGAUCUUCGGGCAGUGGGUCUGCGCAGGCUGCGUGACAACCACAUCCUGGAUUCUGCUCAUCGCGGUCUCCCUUAUGCGGCUGCCGUGCAACAAAGCGGUGGGAACGACCUUCGAUUCUCCUCAACGAUCUUGGGUGGGUCAAUUCGAUUUUCUUUUUAAGACAACACUUUGACGCCCUACUGCCGUCGGCAAGUCUCCGUGAUUACCCAUUUUUUGAAGGCUACCUCGGUACUCACUUCCAUGCUGUAGGCAAGAACACUGAUGAGACGAGCUUUGAAUCAAUUGAGAUCAAUCCUUCGAGGCGGCCGUAACACCACCCACGGUGGCGGUACCGACGAGCUUCGAUCGUUUCCAGGGGGCGAUAAAACGCCUGACUAAUAAUCUCGGAUUCUGCUCACCGCCGAUGGUGAGAAUGAGAAAGCAUGUUCGUCCACGUGUUCUAAUCAGGUGAGCGAUGUUGAGAAUAACCUGCACACAGUCAUUACAGAUUUGCCAUGUACCAACAGAAUAAUGACUACAAAAUUUUACAGGCUCCCCACGAAGAAGAACUUGAUAGAUACCAAAAAUACCCAUGUAGAGUUGGUUAGGAGGCGGCUAGGACGGCCAUCACAUCGGACGCCUUCAAAACAAUGUAAUCAGCACCGUCGGCACCCUUGAACUCGCUUCCUGCAUAUUUGG
rnacentral:lncRNA from 1 species